GUAAGUGCGGUGUGCUUAGCAUGCAANUUCACGGUAAGUUAGUCUUCGGACUAACACAAGUAGCAGACGGGUGAGUACAACACAGGAACUUACCCUCAAGUGGGGAAUAGCCAGUCGAAAAUCUGGGUAAUACCGCAUGUGAUCUUCGGAUCAAAGCCUUCGGGCGCUUGGGGAGAGGCCUGUGCCCUAUCAGGUAGUUGGUGAGGUAAUAGCUCACCAAGCCGACAACGGGUAGCCGGUGUGAGAGCACGACCGGCCACAAGGUUACUGAGACACGGAACCUACACCUACGGGUGGCAGCAACUGGGAAUAUUGCGCAAUGGGCGAAAGCCUGACGCAGCGACACCGCGUGUGGGAAGACGCUCUUCGGAGUGUAAACCACUGUGGCAGGGGAACAAUUUUUGAGGGUACCCUGCUAGAAAGCACCUGCUAACUACGUGCCAGAAGCCUCGGUAAUACGUAGGGUGCAAGCAUUAUCCGGAUUUAUUGGGCGUAAAGCGUCCGUCGGCGUUUUAUUAAGUUUUAACUUUAAUACUGGAGCUUAACUCCAGAUACAGGUUAAAAUACUGGUAGAAUUGAGUUUACUAGGGGGAGCUGGAAUUCUCGGUGGAGGGGUGAAAUCCGUACAUAUCGAGAGGAACACCAUUCGCGAAGGCGGGCUCCUGGAGUAUACUGACGCUCAGGGACGAAAGUCUGGGUAGCAAAAGGGAUUUANANACCCCUGUNNUCNAAACGUAACCNAUCCUUNGCUAAUUGCUUGAUUCUUCA
rnacentral:rRNA from 1 species